rnacentral:rRNA from 1 species
UACAGAGGGUGCAAGCGUUAAUCGGAAUUACUGGGCGUAAAGCGUGCGUAGACGGUUAUUUAAGUCGGGUGUGAAACCUCCAGGCUCAACCUGGAGACGCCACCCGAUACUGCUGUGACUAGAGUCCGGUAGGGGAGCGUGGAGUUCCUGGUGUAGCGGUGAAAUGCGCAGAUAUCAGGAGGAACACCGAUGGCGAAGGCAGGUCUCUGGGCCACUACUGACGCUGAGAAGCGAAAGCAUGGGGAGCGAACAGG